AGCUCUGUUGGCUACACUUU
rnacentral:miRNA from 1 species